GCCUCGGUGGUGUAGUAGUAGAGCACGAGUUCCCGGAUAGGAAGAAACGCAGGUUCGAUUCUCGCCUGAGGCU